rnacentral:rRNA from 1 species
GUCCACGCCCUAAACGAUGUCAACUAGGUGUUGGGGAGGAGACUUCCUUAGUACCGUAGCUAACGCGUGAAGUUGACCGCCUGGGGAGUACGGUCGCAAGAUUAAAACUCAAAGGAAUUGACGGGACCCGCACAAGCGGUGGAUUAUGUGGAUUAAUUCGAUGCAACGCGAAAACCUUACCUACCCUUGACAUGUCAGGAACUUUCCAGAGAUGGAUUGGUGCCCCGAAAGGGAACCUGAACACAGGUGCUGCAUGGCUGUCGU